GAAGUUAGCCGGUGCUUAUUCUUUGGGUACCGUCAUCCCAACCGGGUAUUAGCCAGCUGGAUUUCUUUCCCAACAAAAGGGCUCUACAACCCGAAGGCCUUCUUCACCCACGCGGUAUGGCUGGAUCAGGCUUGCGCCCAUUGUCCAAUAUUCCCCACUGCUGCCUCCCGUAGGAGUCUGGACCGUGUCUCAGUUCCAGUGUGGCUGAUCAUCCUCUCAGACCAGCUACGGAUCGUCGCCUUGGUGGGCCUUUACCCCGCCAACUAGCUAAUCCGACAUCGGCUCAUUCAAUCGCGCAAGGUCCGAAGAUCCCCUGCUUUCACCCGUAGGUCGUAUGCGGUAUUAGCGUAAGUUUCCCUACGUUAUCCCCCACGAAAAAGUAGAUUCCGAUGUAUUCCUCACCCGUCCGCCACUCGCCACCCAGAGAGCAAGCUCUCCUGUGCUGCCGUUCGACUUGCAUGUGUUAGGCCUACCGCCAGCGUUCACUCUGAGCCAGGAUCAAACCCUC
rnacentral:rRNA from 1 species